UUCCUCUUUUGGUGUGGCUUUUAUUUAUUUUAUUUUAUAUGUUUUAUAUAGUAGAAACAUUGAUCGGCAAUGCAGUAAUACUUGACGAUCUGACUCCACGGCCUUUGAAAUUGUGGACAGUCUUCAUCAAUCUUACAUGGAGUAUCAACUGUAAUUAAUAAAAUAGAAUAAAAUUAUGUUACUAAGAAUACAUAAAAGAAUUCUUUGAAAAAAACAUAAAAGAGUGUGUACAAAUUACAUAUAGUAUUUUAAAAAAAAUUACAUACAACACUAGAGAAUGAAAUUUUAAAAGGAUUAGAAAAAUUGCUUACCGAAAAAACUUUCUGCAACAAAAAAUAGGGAAAGAAAUAAA
rnacentral:lncRNA from 1 species